UGCAAUCUAUUGGAGAGAAAGUUUCAGUUGCC
rnacentral:piRNA from 1 species